rnacentral:tRNA from 1 species
CGGGAUGUAGCGCAGUUGGUAGCGCGCUUGCUUUGGGAGCAAGAUGUCGCAGGUUCGAAUCCUGUCAUUCCGACCA